UCCCUGGAGGACUAAUGGUUAGGCCUCAGCUCUCUCACUGCCAUGGCCUGGGUUCGAUUCCUGGCCAGGGAA